rnacentral:rRNA from 1 species
UACGGAGGGGGCUAGCGUUGUUCGGAAUUACUGGGCGUAAAGCGCACGUAGGCGGCUUUGCAAGUUAGAGGUGAAAGCCCGGGGCUCAACUCCGGAAUUGCCUUUAAAACUGCAUCGCUAGAGUUGUGGAGAGGUAAGUGGAAUUCCGAGUGUAGAGGUGAAAUUCGUAGAUAUUCGGAAGAACACCAGUGGCGAAGGCGACUUACUGGACACAUACUGACGCUGAGGAGCGAAAGCAUGGGGAGCGAACAGG